AGAUCAUCCGAGUCGUGUUCAACUCAAUCAGUCCUGUGACUCCUCACUAGGACUACCCUGGCCAAGAUUUUGCUAAAUUAAAACACGACUGUACAUAGCUCCUAAACUGGAGUGGUCAAUCCCAUCUUGACACACGCACCGACAAGUCAAGUACUUGACUACACCCAGCAGCCUUCCGUCACUGAAUUAGAAAUUCAGGUAGUCCA
rnacentral:lncRNA from 1 species